rnacentral:rRNA from 1 species
UACGAAGGGUGCGAGCGUUAUUCGGAAUCACUGGGCGUAAAGGGUGCGUAGACGGUGUGUUAAGUUUGUCGUUAAAGACUCUAGCCUAACUGGAGGGUUGCGAUGAAAACUAGCAUGCUAGAGGGUGAGAGAGAGAAGUGGAAUUCCCGGAGUAGCGGUAAAAUGCGUGGAUCUCGGGAGGAACACCAAUGGCGAAGGCAGCUUCUAGGCUCAUUCCUGACGUUGAGGCACGAAAGCGUGGGGAGCGAACAGG